GCGACGGCGGCGGCGGUAGGUAGGUAGAGGCGGCGGCGACGGCGGCGGCGAUGGAUAAGGUGGGUUCUUGGCAUCGGUCGCGAGCGCCGCCUGCCAGCCGUACCUCCUCGGCUACAGGUCCGAGUGGGUGCUGGAUUACCGCCUCUAGGAGAGAGCGCACGGGAUGUUUAGUGACACGCAGACGUUCACACACACGGGACGGACCGCGCUGGAGUAGCGUCUAGGCCUCUCAGCCUUCUUCUAACACGUCAGGGACCGGCCAAAGAAGAUGGUGUAGGGCCGGCUGAGACGGCUCAGGGCGCCGAACCGGCAGUUGAUGCGGCUGGAGAGACGGAAGGGAACCCGCUCGCACGGGUCCUGGAUGGGCGCGAACGGUGAUGGCGGUCUGUCGCGUCUGACAAAGAAGUGACAGUUCCUAAGGACGCUACCCGACAAAGAAUGGGCCUAACCCUGCCCGUGCGGCCUCGGUGUUAGACCGAUGUACCAGAGGUUAGGUUGAUGGCCACUCAUAUAAGACGACGGGGUGAGACCGAUGCGGCCGUUGACGACACCGAGAAUGAACCCGAAGCUAUCACCACAGAGGUGAGUUCUCAAAGUACACAAGGUCAAACACUACCCUACCGGUCUGGUUCUGGUCCUACCCCAAGGGGGCCAACACUGUCCCGAGUUGUAAAUGAGAAGGCUUUGACCACGUACCCAUCGUUACCUUGGGUUUACCCUGUAGGUCCAAUCGAACACGCCGCCAGGUGAACCUCAAAAGUCACUCCCCACAAACGUGGACGAGUAUGUAGAACUACCCGACCGUUAUCAACUACGUUUUCCCGAUUUUACCUCUUGGUAGGGGCACGGCUUAAAGUAGCUAGGGUCAAAGAGCCCAAAGUAGCCUUUUAGACGUCCUGUUGACAAAAUAUAGUUGAGACUGCUGUCACUUCUUCCUAUACCGAGCCGGAGUAAGAGUUGAUAUAGAAAGAUGCAAGAGUCACUUCCCUAAAUAUUGGUCCUACGCAGAAUAAACCUGCUGCCUACGCGCGUAACCUAUAACAACGUGUUCGAAAGUCUACACUAAGGUUUCCUCUUAAAAACAGAGCCGACCCUGGAGUUUCAGUAGCCUCAUGUGGGUGUACGGUUAUAGUAGAAAUACCGGCUAAAGUUGUUAUUACUUGACAACCGUAUACUAAACCUAGUAGCACUUUCAUGUCGACACGUGGUGUAACUCGCCUGGAUGGAGCGCGUACUCGUUAUAAAGGGUAUACACGGUGACGACAGGUCGGAUGCCGACCGUUGAGGGUCAACUACUUACAAGACGACUAUACCUGCUCCACGAGUCAACCGGCAGCGCAAAAGUUCACUUGAGAAGUGUCUCUAAGUUUGUCUCUACUAGAUAACAAGUAUGUUUUACGAUGGAAAUCAAAGUCAAACUAGAGACGUAACCAAAAGUAAAGAUCAUAAACAGAGCAACCUACAAAGGGAGUACCUACACAAUCACGCUAAACAGCAUACGAAACACGGAAAACUAUUCCGUUGUUCAUGCCUACAUGUUCUGUAAAGGCACACAUGGAGAUAACCGAUUCGGUCUUAAUAAAUAGAAGAUGAUACCUACACAUGUUCUGUGAACCAUACUCGACAUCUUACAGGACACAGAAAACUACACGUUGUUCAUACUCGGUAUACUCCGUCACUCUAUGAUCAUACAAGAUUAAACUAAAUAAAUAAACAUUACAAAAUGGACUCACCGAUUUGUUGUCCACGAAUACAAGACUACACGUGUGUAUGUUAAGAUAGAUCCACAAACGUGACGAUUCUAAAAGAACCAGAGAACAAAAAAGACCAAACUACAAUAUAAGUAUCUUCAAACGUAUACACACGUAGUACAUUACACUAGUAAAAUCGAGUUUUCCAGCUAUUUCCAGUCAUAGGCUUUACUAGUAUUAGAGAACUACUACGUACUUUUUAAAGGACGAUAUAAAAAGAAGAUUU
rnacentral:rRNA from 1 species